ACGCUAUGCAGUGGACCACUUGGCUCGGGGGUCGAUGAAGAUUGUAGCUAGCUGCGAGUCGAAAUGUGAACUGCAGGACAAAUGAACA
rnacentral:rRNA from 1 species